UUUCAAAUUAAGGUAGCCACCAAAAUAUUGGGACAUAUAAAAAAAAGACAACUCUGUUCCGCAGAGUAGCUGUUGACAUUAUAGUUGCACAGGCACUUUGUUGACUCUAGAGAACCUCGGGCCAAUCGCACAUCUCCGUGACGGCGACUUUGCAUUCGAAUGUCAUCCAUAUCAACUUUCGAUGCCAGUUUCUGCGCCUACCAUGGUGACCACGGGUAAUGGAGAAUCAGGGUUCCAUUCCGUACAGGGACCGUGAGAAACGGCUACCACAUGCAAGGAAGGCAGCAGGCGCGCAAAUGACCCACUCCCGACACGGGAAGGUAGUGACGA